GGCUAUGGCCAUACCACCCUGAAUGCACCUGAUCUUAUCUGAUCUUAAAAGCUAAGCAGGGUUGGGCCUGAUUAGUACUUGCUAGUGGGAGACCACCUGGGAAUACUGGAUACUGUAGGCU
rnacentral:rRNA from 1 species